rnacentral:rRNA from 1 species
GAGCGAGCUUGCCUUGAUGAAUUUGGUGCUUGCACCAAAUGAAACUAGAUACAAGCGAGCGGCGGACGGGUGAGUAACACGUGGGUAACCUGCCCAAGAGACUGGGAUAACACCUGGAAACAGAUGCUAAUACCGGAUAACAACACUAGACGCAUGUCUAGAGUUUAAAAGAUGGUUCUGCUAUCACUCUUGGAUGGACCUGCGGUGCAUUAGCUAGUUGGUAAGGUAACGGCUUACCAAGGCAAUGAUGCAUAGCCGAGUUGAGAGACUGAUCGGCCACAUUGGGACUGAGACACGGCCCAAACUCCUACGGGAGGCAGCAGUAGGGAAUCUUCCACAAUGGACGCAAGUCUGAUGGAGCAACGCCGCGUGAGUGAAGAAGGGUUUCGGCUCGUAAAGCUCUGUUGGUAGUGAAGAAAGAUAGAGGUAGUAACUGGCCUUUAUUUGACGGUAAUUACUUAGAAAGUCACGGCUAACUACGUGCCAGCAGCCGCGGUAAUACGUAGGUGGCAAGCGUUGUCCGGAUUUAUUGGGCGUAAAGCGAGUGCAGGCGGUUCAAUAAGUCUGAUGUGAAAGCCUUCGGCUCAACCGGAGAAUUGCAUUAGAAACUGUUGAACUUGAGUGCAGAAGAGGAGAGUGGAACUCCAUGUGUAGCGGUGGAAUGCGUAGAUAUAUGGAAGAACACCAGUGGCGAAGGCGGCUCUCU